AAAAAAAAGUGUGAAAAAAGCAGGGAGUGUGUAAUUGUGUGAACACAGAGUAGAGUAGAAUAGCUAACUGUGUUGUUGUUUUUGUUUAAUGACUUAUAAGAAGAACGUGAUUUAAAUGAAAAUCGUAAAUAAACAUACAAUUAUAAAUGAUGACACAGGUUGUCAUCUAGAAGUCAAUCAUCUGGAGUUUCUUUAAGAAUUUUAAAAUCUUCUGUAAAGCAGUGCAAUGAAAAUAAUAUCAUCAUUAUCAUUAUCAUCAUCUUGUUAUUAAGGUGUAACGUUAACCCAUGUGAUUAAAAAAAAAAAAAGUUUAAAACAAAAUAAAAUCUACAGAAAAAUCUGUUUUAUUUCUACAUUUUUAAAACCAUAAUAGUCAAAACUGCUAACAGAACGACUACAGCAGUCAUAUAAUCAAACAUAAAAAAUUCACUAAAAACUCCCCACAGAAGCUGGCAUAAACGUAAGAGAGAAAGAGACUUUAUAGUCGUAUUUAACGAAUUGAAUUUGGUUUUAUUUUCGGUGCGCGGUUUUCCAUAUUUACUGGUAGUGUCGAAUAGCGCAAAGGAGUUCUACAAUAGCAGUAAUCUGCAACUUUAGAAUCUACCGCUUUUUCAGCCAUUAAAAAAACAAACUCUUCAACAUACAUUUAGUGAAUGUAUACUUAAAUAAAAAAAAGGCAUCAACAAGUUUUAUAUUUCUCAACUAAAACUGAGAAGGAACAAAAUAUUUCAAACUUUUACUUAUCAACAUAAAACAACAAAUUAUUAUUUACUAAUAUCAACAAAAGGUAAAUUACACACUUAAUCUCAUAAAUAUUUUAAACUAUGGUAAGCUUAUUUAAAUGAAUUUAUUUUUUAUUCAGACAAAUUU